AAAAUACGUCAUAAAGAGGCAGUGCAUUUUUUUUUCAUUAAACUUUAUUUGCACAUUUCAAACUUGGACUCUGGUUCAUAGCAAGGCUGGGACAACAACAACAACAACAACAAAGACUGGGAAAUGAAAACGAUGAUGUCCAAGUGACGAUUUUCUGCUUUCAAAGGCUGAUACUUUGCGGCGUGUAGUAGUCAGAUUUAAACACCAUAUUCCCAAGGUCAACUUUAUUUUGAAGGUCUUCACCGGAAGUGCUAUUGCGUCUGCCUUGACCAUGGAAGCCCUGUGCUGAAGUGGAUUUGAUGGCUGCCAUCUUAUAAAAUUAAUUGCCUCCAAUGGCCACAAUGCGUAACUAUAUCUAUGAAUUGUUCUACAUUUUAUUUUGACAGUGCUCACCAUUACAAGCAGAGCUGUAGUUCAUAGUUCAACACUGUGACCACCAGAUGGCAGCAUACAAUAAAAUCAUCCACCAAUUCUAUCAAGUAUCUAUGGUAUCAAGGUUGACACAUCAUCCUCCAUCACCAGACAUUUAAAAAACAAACUUUUUGAUUUGUCAAAUAAUGAAAGAUUAUAGUAAUUUUAAUAUUUAACACAUGAUUGAAUAUGGAUAAAAUAGAUAAUGAAUAGUUUGUGGCUUUAAUACUAAAACAGCGCAGGGCUCUACCUCAAAUGAAACAUUUUAUCUAAGAGUUCAGCAAGUGACUAUAUUGAUAAUGACUAUUUCUUCAUCUUAAGGAUGGAGUUACACAUCGUGAAUAUAGCCUAUAUAGCAAAUUAACCAAAAACUUUUGCAGGUUUUGUGAAAGCCCAGUAUAAGCAGUUUUAAAUGCAUCAGUUUAACAUGUUCCCAUAAUAUUAUGGAAGUUGUCUCAUUUAGCAGAUGGCUGACAGUCCUGGGAACACUGGAAGAGGCUCUCUGUCCCAGAGCUGUGCUGGAGAGAGUCCUGUCUGUUUCUUCACACAUCCUUCAGGAAUGUGUUGGAUACCUGGUGGCACAGCAGAUAGCUCAGCUGGUCCCACUGAUGAGUGCUGUAACUCUGGAGACUUCAAGGAGGACCCCAGGUGUCUCUGUGGAUAAAAAACUCCAAAACAGCCUCACGAAGACAUUUGGCACAUCUGUUGAGAAAUACCCUGGAAAAUACCCUCAUGUCCCGCUGAUUCACACCCCUCUAACAG